CCCCCCUUGUUGAAUUAGCUCAAAAUAAUGUUUACGACCACAAAUAACAAUAACUGUACCAACCUUGUGUUUAUAAAUGUGGAUAUCGACUUUUCCACUUCAGCAUGUUUUUGUAGUGGCACAAUUGAUGCCACACAGGGUUACGGGCCAGAAGGUUGAUGGUUCUUCGACCACUCACUCUCUCUGCCUGUGUCAUUACACUACGAUCAAAGCCGGCUGCAGACAAUGAUUUUCAACAUUUUGAUGGUAUAUUUAUAAUUACAGUGAGCUCCAAAAGUAUUGUUGUUUUGGCUCUGUAAUCUAGAGCUUUGGAUUUGAAUGAUACAAUGACUAUGAGUUUAAAGUGCAGGCUGUCAGCUUUAAUUUGAGGAUAUUUUCAAGUUUCUACUGUCACAAGCUUGAUGUAGUCAUUGCAUGCUAGGAAUAUGAGACCAAAUACUUAACUUUUUACUAUUUUAAUAGUAAUACUUUUGGUCCCCUGAAAUGGUGGGACAAUUAAUUUGAAAAUAUCCUCAAAUUAAAGCUGACAGUCUGCACUUGAACCUCAUAGUCAUUGUAUCAUUUCAAAUCCAAAGUGCUGGAGUACAGAGCCAAAACAUCAACAAAUGUGUUACUGUCCCAAUACUUUUGGAGCUCACUGUUUAUAAAUACUGUAUAUGCAAUUUAUUUUCCACCAACAGGUUUCUGUGCCAAUGCACCAUACAACCAAUAAGCAAAGCAUACCAACUUCGGGCACUUCAACAUCAAGGUUUGCAUUUUCAACACCACAAUCAAAUAGACCAUGUCAAUCUCGACAAACAGAAAAUACUUCCCUCCCUACCUACCUUGUCCCCAAUAUUGAAGGCUUGGCUAUAUGGAGUACCACCGUAUGAGUCAUAAAACCCGGAAAAUGGUUUCAAUCGUUAUUUCACCAUUCAUUUUUCCAUAUGGGAUUUUAGAACUACUGUAUAUAAGGUCUGUGUUUCAUGUAGGUUUACCCUGUCAUUACGUUUUGAUAACCGCGCAAAUAUUUUACUUUUAUCAAUAAUUAGCAUUGCACAUUUUUUUAGAGUAAAUUGAGGUGAAAAUAUUGACAAAACCUACCUUGUCCAAGAGAGAAUUACACGGCUAUCAAAAUGUCACGCCAAGCCCUUACAGAAUUACCCACCAACAACGGACCAAGCAGCGGAGGAAGGAGAAGCGCCAGGAGAGGAGCGUUCAGGAUUCGUGGACUUGGGAGGAAAUCCUGGACGGGAAAGGACCAUGGGCUCAAGAUGGGGAUUAUCGCCGCCCGCAGUGGGAGAUCGAGGCGGCGAGAGCUGAGAGGCGCUGGUAUGAGGAAAGGGAGCGCAGCAGACACGAGAGGCAGCCCCCCAUUUUUUUUGGGGGGGGCACACGGGAGAUUGGCAGAGUCAGGCGGUAGACCUGAGCCAACUCCCUGUGCUUACCGGAAGCAGCGUGGUACUGGUAAGACACCGUGUUAUGCUGUGGAGCGCACGGUGUCCCCAGUGCGCGUUCAAA
rnacentral:lncRNA from 1 species